AGCAACAAGUCUUAGUUACAUAAGUUACCCUGCAGGUAUGAGCCAACACAGUGGAUGGAUAAAUGAAUGGAUGGUAUUAAUCCUUAAACUGUUUAAACAGUUUCAACAUUAUCAUGAGAGACAUGUUUUUUUUUCUUUUUGUAUUCCUGAGAGCUUAAACUUCUAAAAAUGAGAAAUAGUCAUACAUGUAAUUUUUCCCAAUUUUUGAUGACUUUCAAUAUUGAAAUGAGAUUCAUCUAAAUUACGAAUCCCAUUGACCCACAGGUGACAGGAAGAUGUGGUAAGAUAACACAACUUAUGUUAACACAAAGACAUAAAAACACGCCUCAGAAAGAACAGCUGCUGUGGUUUCUGACUUCCUGACAUGCAGUGGUCAUUAAUACGUUAAAAUUGCAAUAACAUUUUAUUUAGUUUAAAAGUGUACAGUGUGAGUGGAUGUUUAUGCAUGUGGCAUGUAACAACCCAAAAUUACAGCUCACUUUCAUUAAACCACUACUGAUAGAAACGGCUUGUUUGGUUUUAUGCAAACUCACUGAGCCCCUCCUUCCUCUCGUAUAUUUAUAAAUUAUAUCAGCUGGGAGUGGAGACACUUCCAAAUCACAACAUGUCUCCUUUAGCUCUUCUGCUGCUGUUGGCAGCUGGAUCCUGUGUGAUUUGUGAACAGCUGACACAGCCGGACUCUGUAAAUGUGCAUCCAGGUCAGCCUCUCACCAUCACCUGUCAGGUAUCUUAUUCUGUUACGAGCUACUGGACCUGCUGGAUCCGACAGGCAGCAGGGAAGGGACUGGAGUGGUUUGGAUGCAGAGUUGGCUCAUCUACAUCCUACAAAGAUUCACUGAAAAAUAAGUUCAGUAUUGACAUAGACUCCUCCAGGAACACAGUGACUCUUAAAGGCCAGAACAUGCAGUCUGAAGACACUGCUGUGUAUUUCUGUGCAAGAGACCGCACCAUAACACAAAACAUCAGACGACCAAACAAAAAUCCCUGAGGUCUCAA